AAAUAAGUUCACUGAUAUUCUUAGGUGAUAUCCUAUUUUGGGUGAGGCCAUCAGAUUCAAUCCAAACAAGGAUUAUUACAGAAAACGUUUCAGACAGAAACAUGCUGCAUUUUUAGUGUAAAUUCGGCUCUUACAGAUGUAUUUUCUGUUCUCGAUUCAUGUUUUAACACAGUUGGCCUUUGCUGCUGAGCCAACAUUUCUUCAGCGGACCUUAUCUAAAGGUGUGCUCCCUCAUGAAACUCCUAUUAACGCGUCUUUCUCAGUAGUCUUCGCUCUAUGCUGCGAAUUGCUUUCUUUUGUUUCCUUCUAAUGAAUUUAGCCUGAGUUCACAUUAUUGCUUUGUGCAGAAUGUGUAGCCUGAUGUAUUUUUCAUUUCAUCUCUCUCCUUCUUUCAUGCCAUCCUCAGAAACCGCCAUAGUCUAAGACAUCUCCUCCUCGUCCUCAGCCAAAAGAACUUCUCACAACAUCAAAGAAAGCCGGAGAGAAGGAGAGCGGGAAGGAGGGGUCUGCCUUGUAUCUGGGUUCUCAUGGAGAAGACGGUGGAGGAGAGGGGGAGGGGGAAAGCGAUUGAGAGAGAGAGAGAGAGAGAGAGAAAGAAAGGCAGGUAUGGAGGGAGGGAAACGAGGAUGAGAGAGGAACGAAGCCAACCAACCAGCUGAAAGAGAACGAGCGAUCGGGGCUGUUUGAACGUGGCUGGGAGAAAAGGAGGGAGGAGGGAGAGAGAGAGGGUGAGAUCGAUUGUCAGAUCCGAGGAAAUAGAAGUGUUACUAUUGCACGGCCACUGGAACGGUGUCUGCCUGCUGAGGAUAUGCAUUGGCUCCCAGCGCUCACCGGCUCGCAGGACACGCUCUAAGAUGUAAUUUCCAAAGGCCUAAUUGUUGCCACGGAGGGAUCUACAAAUAGAGGCAACCACAGCAAGACAUGUGUCUCUGGGGAUGAUGCCGUUGCCGCUGGUGCCACUCUCCCUGUCGCCAUGACGAUGCCGCUCAGCCCCCUCUCCAGCGACGAGGAGCAGCAAAGGAUGCUGGGAAACAGUCAACACCUUUAUCCAGGGGCAGAAGAGGAAGAAGAAGAGGAGGAGGAGGAGGAAGAGGAAAUGGAUGAUGACUGCGUGGACGAGGAAGGCGAGGAGGAGAACGGAGAGCUGGAGUUGGAUGAUGAAGAGGACGUGGACGACGAAGAUGACAUCAGGCGAGGUCCAAGGCGUUUGAGAGGAGGCAGGGAAGAGGGGCACAGGCAAAAAGGCACAAUGGCUGGACGACUUCCAGGAGACAGACCGCUACGAGCUGGCAACCCGGGCCACACAGCCAACCCGUAUUCGUCCAACACUGGACCCACCCACCAAGCGCCGGCUAAUCAGCAGCAGCCGCAACAGCAGCGGAAGCUACGAGAGCGAAGCUCAAGCAACGCACCUGACGACACACACAUAGCUAUGAUGGUCUUUCGAAUUGGCAUUCCUGAUAUCAAACAGACGAAGUGUCUGAGGUUCAACCCUGAUGCAACCGUAUGGAAGGCAAAGCAGCAGGUGCUGUGUAGUCUAACUGAAUCUCUAAGGGAUGUAUUAAACUACGGUCUUUUCCAACCUGCUACCGAAGGGCACGAUGCCAAGUUCCUGGAGGAAGAGAGGCCGCUCCGCGAAUACCCACAAUCCUUUGAGAAAGGAGUACCCUACCUGGAGUUCCGCUACAAAACCAGGGUGUACAAACAGACAAAUCUAGAUGAAAAACAGCUGGCCAAACUACACACAAAGGCCAGUCUGAAGAAGUUCAUGGACUACAUCCAGACCGGGGCUGUGGAAAAGGUAGCCAAACUUGUAGACAAAGGCCUUGACCCCAACUACCAUGACCCUGAUACAGGAGAGACCCCACUCACUCUGGCCGUACAGACGGAGCCGGGUGGAGGGGAGAUCAUCAGGGUGCUGGUGAUGGGGGGAGCUCACAUUGACUUCAGGGCAAAGGAUGGCUUGACCCCUCUCCACAAGGCUGUCAGAGCGCAUGCGCACACUGCCCUACUGACGCUGUUGUCUUUGGGGGCAUCUUCUGAUUAUAAGGACCGCCGUGGGCUGACACCACUGUACCACACUGUGCUGACAGGGGGUGACACCUCCUGCUGUGAGACCCUCCUCUAUCACAGAGCCAAGCUGGGGCUCCGUGAUGAGAAUGGCUGGGACGAGACCCAUCAGGAAAGCUGUGCCCGCAUUUUGCUGUAUCGAGGAGCCAAUAAGGACACAAAGAAUAACAGUGGGCAGACCCCCUUCCAGGUGGCUGUGAUGUCUGGCCAUUUUGAGCUGGGAGAAAUCAUUAAAAACCACCGUGAAUCAGAUGUAGUUCCCUUUUUGGAGUCUCCAAAGUAUGCCCCCCAGAGGAAGGAGAGUUCACGUACUCUUGGAUUGCCCCAUCCUCAUCCCUUCUUGCGGGCCAACAGUGACAACAGUAUGAACGUGCCAGACUGGAUCGCUUUUCCCAACGCUGCCGGAUCAAACCUAGUCUCUGUGCAGGGUCUAAAGCAUGGCGGCACCUUGCGUAGCUCCAGCAGUCCCCGUGGAGCACGAACCCGUUCCCCGUCCCGUGGCCGAACAGGCGACCGAGACGAUCGGAGCCGGCAAACACGGGGAAGACAAGGGGCUGGCUCUAUCAGUAGUCAGGGCACAGCAAGCGGGCAGCGGCGGCGUCUCUACAGUGCCGUGCCUGGCCGUGUGUUUGUGGCCACCCGCUCGCACUCGGCCCAGGGAGACCGCGAGAUCAGCUUCAACAAGGGAGACAAAGUCAAAGUGUUGAGUGUUGGUGAAGGAGGCUACUGGGAGGGGACAGUUCGCGGGCGGACGGGCUGGUUCCCCUCUGACUGCGUGGAGGAGGUGGCUCUCCGCAGCCUGGAGUCCCGUUCAGAGAGCCGCAGUGAGAGAGCCAAGCGACUAUUCCGACAUUACACCGUUGGAUCCUAUGAUAGCUUUGACGCACCCAGUGACUACAUAAUCAAGGAGAAGACAGUCCUCCUGCAGAAAAAAGACAAUGAAGGUUUUGGCUUUGUGCUGAGAGGAGCCAAGGCUCAGACCCCUAUAGAAGAGUUCACUCCCACCCCAGCCUUUCCAGCACUGCAGUACCUCGAGUCUGUCGACGAGGGAGGCGUGGCUUGGAGAGCUGGUCUGCGAAUGGGAGACUUCCUUAUCGAGGUGAAUGGUCAGAAUGUGGUUAAGGUGGGACACAGGCAGGUGGUCAAUAUGAUCAGGCAAGGCGGCAACAGCCUCAUGGUCAAGGUUGUCAUGGUUACCCGGAACCCUGAUAUGGAGGAAGGGGUCCGAAAGAAAAUCCCACAGCAGAGUAAAAGGCUGAGCACACCGGCUAUCGCUCUGCGCUCCAAAUCAAUGACAUCAGAACUGGAAGAGAUGGUGUUCACAGCCUCUGCCCCAUGGAAAAAAAAAUCAGAGUUCGAGUCUUCACAAGCUACAGAGAAGAAGAGGACAGUUUAUCAGAUGGCUUUGAAUAAACUGGAUGAGAUUUUAGCAGCAGCACAGCAGACCAUCAACACCAAUGAGGCCCCAGGGCCCCGGGUUCAGGGGGUAAAAAGAGAACGGGGCAGAGGCUUUUAUAAUGAGCCAAGUUUCGACCAAUCGGGAAUGGGGAUGACAACAUCUGGGGCAGGGCUAGGCUAUGACCGUGGUCAAUUUGUGUCUGGCCACGCCCCCCCGCACGGUAUGCUGCGACAGAAGUCCAUCGGGGUUCCAGAGGAGGAGAAGCAGUUCCUUCAUCCUCCAGCCAUGAAGUUUGCCCGCAGUCUUUCAGUACCUGGCCCAGAUGACAUCCCUCCUCCCCCUACUACAGCUCCCCCUGAGCCCCCUUUCUCCUCAGCUCCCCCUCUUGGCUUUAGGGGCAAGACAUCCCAGCAGCCGUCUGUUUCUAUGUCCCAAUCCACUUCCUCUUCUGCACAUUAUCAGCUCUACUCACAGUCAGUACAUGUCACACAUGGACCCAGAGACAGGUCCCCUGGACCACCUGCUGGGUCCGGAACCGGAGACCUCUCUUACUCACAUGCUCAAGCCCACCCCUCUGUGCCAAGCAGGACUGCCUCCAGAAAGGUGAUUGGGUACACAGGGGACCUUGCAGGGGCUGGAGGAGCACCAGGAGCCAAGGCAGCAGCAUUGAGAAGGGGCUACAGCAAUGCAGUCCCACCCACUAGUGUCGCUACUGUAAUUCCACAACAGCAGCAGACUACUCAGAGCCAACCUUCCAGGAUGGACCGCAGUGCGACAGGGGCAGGAGCAGGGGCAGGUGGUGUACCGAAAGGUGGUGCCCGGAGAGGGAAGGGGCCCUUGGUGAAACAGUCAAAGGUGGAGGAUCUGCGUCAGGGCCAGGGCACACUGGAAGGGAAGGGGUCAGUGGAGAAGAGCUCUAUUCCUAUCCCAACCAUCAUCGUUAAAGCUCCUUCCACCAGCAGCAGUGGUCGCAGUAGCCAAGGCAGCAGCAUGGAGGCUGAACCACCUCCUCCAGGAGAGAGUGACAGUUCUAAACCCCAACCUAUUGUUCCCCCACCUGCACCCACCGUUCCACCCCCAGCCCCUCCAUCUAUACCUGCUCCCCCACCCCCAUCACUGCGUACUCAAGAGAGUUUGGACUUCACCAGCCAGUUUGGUGCUGCCAUAGUAGGGGCAGCUCGCAGGGAUCGAGAACGAUUCCAUGAAGCACGACGGAAGAGUGCCUCCUUUUUUCUUUCUGCUGAGGAAGAGUUGGGUGGAGCAGGAGAAGUGGGAGGACGGACCCAGACUUCCCAACAGCAGCUGAGUUCCCAGCCUUUACCUCGUCUGCGACCGUCCAAAUCUAUAGAUGAAGGCAUGUUCUCAGGUGAUACUUUUAUCCACCACACACGCAGUAUGCCUCCUGCCUUUGGCCUGCCUGAGUACUCCUCACCUGCUCCUCCUGGGGAUUACCAGCCUAAGUCUGUACCUGCUGACUUCUAUGGGGCGGGAGGCCGACAACAGCAGCAGCAGCAGCAAUCCUCCACCACAACUUUCAUUCACCCAUUAACGGGGAAAGUUCUGGAUCCUUCAUCCCCACUAGGCUUGGCGUUGGCUGCAAGGGAACGUGCCUUGAAAGAUGAUGGUCGCAUACGCAGGGAGAGGACAACUGAACAUCAUUUUACCCGUCAGUUGUCCAGCAUUGGGGCCUUUCCCUCGUCCACUGCUCAACCAGCAUCACAUAUCUCCUACUCAAUGGCCUCGUCUUCCUCUGCAACCUCCUCUGCUGCUCAGUCCUCAAGCUCCUCCUCGUACCUUGUUACCUCCUCAUCACUCGCUGCCACCACUACAUCUACUCGGCCUCCAUCUCCCAGGAUCCUGCGUGGAGCAGGAACCAGCUGGGGUGAGGAAGCAGGGGUUGGAGAGCGUGCAGACAGGGAGGCAGCUGGCACCUCUGCUCCCAGAGAAGGCCUAAGGGUUCGUUUCUCUGAGGAUAAAACAGUCCACACGCACCACUAUCAGCCCACCUACAAGGAGCGCGAACGAGAGCGGCAGAGAGAGAGGUCACGAGAAAGAGAGAGAGAACGAGAAAGGGAAAGAGAGAUAGAUAAAGCUCAGACCCAGUUACAGCAGCAGUCCACACAGCCAACACCCCAGCAGCCUCGACGCCCCUCGUUCUUGAGGAUGGAGAGUGAGGCUGGAGCAUACAUCCUUUCCUUGACACCACCUUCAACAACAGCCCCUACACGUCCUUCAGCAGGAGCUGCAGGUGAAGGUGCAAGUGGCACUGGUCUGAUGGUUCUUCCUCCCCCAGCACCCUCAGUAGAUGCAGAUGAUGAGUUUGUGUUUGUUGAUCCUCUCCCUCCACCUCUGGAGUUUGCCAAUAGUUUUGAUCGUGGUUUGAGUUACUCUGCGAUGAUGUCCCACAAUGUGACAGCCCGCCAGCAGCUUCAUCAUCCACCUCAACCACCACCUCCUCCGCCACCUCCUCCCCCUCCAAAAGACUCCUUUAUGUCUGGGUUCCCACCUCACACACCCCUGCCCUCACCCCAGGCAGGAGAUUCAACAACUUCCAGCCUUACUUCCUAUGACAGUGAGGUCGCCAACCUCACCCAGUCAGCCCCGUCUCCCUCUCCAUCUUCCCCCAACCCACUACCGCCUCCCUCUCCCUCCACCUUGCAGCCCUCUGGGCCACCUCCACCUCCUUCUGUAUCACCCCCGCCACCACCCACCUCCUACCAUAGACCGUUUGGCCUAUCUCAGUCACAACACUUAUACAACAGUACAAAUUCAGCCGGACGCUCCUCUUCUCCCACACCACCACCUCUCUCUAUUCCAGCUCCACCUGCCUACCGGGGCCCUCCAACAGCAACAUCCACCCCAGCAACUUCUGUAUCUCUCAGAGGUGCCUCAACUGUGACCGCAAGCUGUUCCACAACUGCUUCUACAACUGUAGUCUCUUCUGCUACUACUGCUGCUGCUGCUGUCACACCACACACACGCAUUGCAACUGUCUCCACAGUAGCUACAGGGGGUAGCAGACGGCCCAGCGCAGAGCGCCAUCCGCCACCCAGUGCAGCUAAGAGCGGCGAGUCCCAGGAGACAGUGGUGGAUUCUGGGAUUGAGGAGCUGGAUAGCCGAAGCAGCAGCGACCAUCACUUAGACAACAUCCUUGCACGCAGUGGUAGUGGGGUCAGAGAAAGGUUGGAGAGAGCAGGGAUGGGUAGCUUAGGUGGAGUUGGAGAGAGAGGUGGGGCAACAGAGGCCGACAGAAUAAGUGGGGCAGACUUUUUAGAGUCUUACAUGAGCUAUCUUGAUGGACAGACUUUUGAAAUGCACAAUGCCAAAGCCGCCAGCACUGCAUCCACCUACCCAAAAACACAGAGGUACAGAGAAGGGAGUCGGGCUGGAGAUCUUCGACGCCAAACCAGCACGGCACCCCCUGCAUACCACCGUCGUAGGGAUGAGGAAGAGGAGGAGGAGGAAGAAGCAGAAGAAGGAGAGGAGGAGGAUGUGAAUGUCCGCGAUGGCUAUGGAAUGAGGGAAGUGCCAGGGAUCGCUCGCUCCUCUGUAAUGUACUUUGACCGGCCCCGCACUCCAGAGAUAAAACCUCUGUGGGGUGAUGGGUCGGCCGGGGCAGCGCAGUCCAUGGGGGAGGGAGGGGUCCAGACUGGGGGGACAUAUGUGGAGGCACGUAAACUGCAUCCUCCCAUGUCCGGUAUGAAGGCAAGCAUCAUCAAUGAACUCAGCACCAAAUUACAGCAGAGGAGCAAAGGAACGGAGAACUGGGGAACUCAGAGAUCACUGAGCAGACAUAGGUACAGGUUCUCAGAGGACUCCACAGGUGCACUGAGUCCUCCCUCUGUCCGCUCUAGCUCUCCAUCUCCUGUUCAGCUCUCUCAGCCUGCCUUGUCUCCCUCCCCCACCCCUUCUUCCCAGCCGCUCUACCCAAAUUGGGCUCGAUCUCCUUCCCCUCAGCCCCCUGCUGCCUCAUCCCAGCUUCCUCCCCGAUCACACUCACCUGUUUCUCCCUCUUCAUAUUCACCGUACCCUACCUCACCCAAACACCGGCCCGUUUACCGCACCAAAGCCCUGGAGUUCCAGUUUAUCCCCAGCAGAGAGUCACGUAAGGCAGAGUCGCAUCACGCUCAGCGCAGAAGAGCACCCAGCCCGUUAAUUUCACCCUCUGACCGCCCAAAGCUUGGCCCUCCCCGCCCCUCUUCCCUUCCCAUUCUCCCCACCACGCCCCUCUAUAGCAGCUUGUAUGACCUCCGUGGUUCUAUUACUCCACCCUCACCUGCCAAUCCUCUUGGGGACCCCUACUUCUCCCCCUCUCCCCCUCUCUUUGCCCCCUCGGGGGCUCCACCUCCUCCAAAUUCCUCUCUGGUGGUCUCUCGCUCCUUGUCCCCCACCCACUUCCUGUCAGGGACUUCAUCCCCACCACUCCACCCCAUUCCUCCACCCACUUGCCUGAGUUACCCUCACCUCCCACCCCCUUCACCCACCAAACCCUUUGCCUCCAAACCACUCCCAUAUUGGACCAAGUAUGAUGUGGCGGAUUGGCUGGGCUACCUGAACCUGGGUGAGCACAGGGAGCGAUUCCUAGACAACGAGAUUGAUGGCACGCACCUACCCUCUCUUACCAAGGAUGACUACCUGGACCUGGGUGUGACCAGGGUUGGCCAUCGCAUGAACAUAGAGAGGGCGCUCAGGAGAGUGAUGGACAGGUGA
ensembl:lncRNA